GGUUGACCUCGGAUCAAGUAGGAAUACC
rnacentral:rRNA from 1 species